ACGACCUGUCCUGAAGGAGCCUAGGAUCCCAGUGCGCAGGCGCGAUUGGAAAACUUACAUGCCCUCUGCAGCUCAUUCUAGAGAUCCGUCUCCCCUCCAUUUAGUGACGCCUCAGCUAGGAGAUCUGGCUCGGUUGGAAAGUGAGAAAGGAGGUAGGAGGAUUGCCACAAGUUCAAGGCCCAUGCAGGCUACACAAGCUCCAAGCCACUGAGAAACUCACUCGCCAAACAACGUCUCGUGGUAUCCUGGCUGACUCUGGCCGCUUCAGCAGAGCCUGGCUGUUCCUGCUGGAUUGUGCUACUGCUACAGAUUCAUGUUUGGUGUUUGCUAUUGAACUGGGCUGCUUAUAUC
rnacentral:lncRNA from 1 species